rnacentral:sRNA from 1 species
AAGUUCUGGUAAGACAACCUAAUGGAGUUUCUUCUUCCUGUUACAGGUUUAAUGAUCACCUCUGCUGCAAUCUACCAUGUACUCCAUUUUUUCCACAUCACCAUCGACAUUCGGAAUGUCUGUGUGUUCCUGGCCCCUCUCUUCUCCUCCUUCACCACCAUCGUCACGUACCACCUUACCAAAGAGCUCAAGGAUGCAGGGGCUGGGCUUCUUGCUGCUGCCAUGAUUGCUGUAGUUCCUGGAUAUAUCUCCCGAUCUGUGGCUGGCUCCUAUGAUAAUGAAGGGAUUGCCAUCUUUUGCAUGCUACUCACCUACUACAUGUGGAUCAAGGCAGUAAAGACUGGUUCCAUCUGUUGGGCAGCUAAGUGUGCCCUUGCUUAUUUCUACAUGGUCUCGUCAUGGGGAGGUUAUGUGUUCCUGAUCAACUUAAUUCCUCUCCACGUCCUGGUGCUGAUGCUCACAGGCCGUUUCUCUCACCGGAUCUAUGUGGCCUACUGUACUGUUUACUGCCUGGGCACUAUACUUUCUAUGCAGAUCUCCUUUGUGGGUUUCCAG